rnacentral:tRNA from 1 species
GGGGGCGUAGCUCAGACGGUAGAGCGCUCGAUUAGCAUGGGAGAGGUACGGGGAUCGAUAUCCCGCGCCUCCA